ensembl:snRNA U2 U2 spliceosomal RNA
AUUGUUUCUCAGCCUUUUGGCUAACAACAAUUGUAGUAUGUAUUAUCAGGUUAGCACCUGCUAUGUUCUCUCUGGAGACAAUACAUUAUGUAAAUUUCUGGAGAUGGGAGAUGGAAUAGGAAUUUGCUCCAUGCACUUCAUGCAUCGACUUGGUAUUACAUUGCCUUCAGGAAAGGUGUAGCCCUC